AAAUGAUGCUGCAGGAGGAGCAGGGCUGCUAACACAGAGCUGUUCAGUCUCUGCCUGCCUAAGAGGAGCUCAGACUCUUCCCAUGUGCUGGUGCUCUUCGGAAUUAUACUGGCACUUGAGAGAAAGGGUUUUAAAGAAAGGCUUUGACAUACUUCUUCCUUAAAGGUUAGUACCUAAAACGCAGCAAUGGAAGGAGAUCAAAGUGGGCAAGAACUGGUCACAAAGAAGGGAAAGGCAAAAGCCAAAUGGAGCUGGAAAGGGUCAAUGAGUACGAGUGGAACUGAAAGCAGUCACAGCAGACAAUAGCAACUCCUUUGUCAUUUUGCUCUUACUGCAGCACUGGAGGUGGAGAACACAGUGCUUUUCUGCUCUCUGCAGCACAGCCCACAAAGUCGCAGGCUUACUGUGCCCACAGCCUCCAAGUCAACACGCUGUGUAUUUAUGUCAUUAAAGCAACAAGAGGCCACUUCAUUCACGGUAUUUAAGCCUAUACAUUGGAAGUCCCGGGCAGGUUUUGAGUGACAAGGCUCGGUGAGGUUGUUCGGACAUUGCCUGCUGCAAAAUUCCUCCUGCAUUCCUGGCUGCCUGCUGGGCACAGCCCAUGCCCGAGCUCUGCCUGCUGCGUGUGCUCACCCCUGUCCCCAGACCAGCGUGGUUCCACACCCCGGCUCCCAGCUCCGUAGGAUCAAUGUGCUGAGGGAGCAGUUGUUCAUCACCAGCACGGCCUUCAGGAUCUUCCCCUCUCCUUGAUACUAAACAGGUGUUAAACGGCCAUCCUGUUGCUCCUCCCCUCCUCCUUCUGCAGGUCCCUUCCCCGGUGACAUCUGUUCCCAGGAAUGAUGAGACAAGAUUUGGAGCAAUUACUAUAGUUUGUGUUUCCUGACCCAGCUUGCUGUGUGCGUGUUAAGAGCACGAGCGCUGAAAAUCAACAGGGUGUAGAAGGUAACACGGCUCCCCACCUCAAAGCUAACGAUAUUUUGCUAUAUGCACAAGAGCUCUGGAUCUUAAUUUUCUGGCUCCUUUCUCAAUUGUACAGUUUUCAGCUAUUGCCUAAUGAAGCAUGCUUGGCUCCCAUAAUGCGAUGUUAUAUUAUCUCUAUGCUCUUGUUAAAGGCCUUAUACUUCACCCCAAACACCUGUGGCACCUAUGCAAGAAGAAAAGCUCUGAUGUGCCAACUGGACUCUGAUUUUGUGGCAGGACAAGCCAGGCCUUGAAAACACUCCUCUGCCUUCCACAGGGCUAAGCACAGCAGGGAGCUCGGGGCGCCUGGCUCCUGAGGUGGAGGAAGGCAGGCUCUGUGCUGCAGGAUGGAUGUCACAGCGAGAGGGAGAGCCGAGUUAUUUCCGCAAUCCCUUCACAUAAUGGAUGGGGAUGUCAAGAUGCCGCCAUCUGAAGUAUGAGCACCUUGGAACCAAACAAAAAAUGACUGGCGGUGUCAGCUUUCAGGAAUGUAUGAGCAGAGGUGGUGGGGAGCUGCACAUGCGGCACAGGCUUUCUCCAGCAUCUUCCUUUCAGCACAAGGGAUGACCUUGGCCCCUCUCCUCUUCCUCCACAGACUGUCACGCACAGAUCUCCUGGUCUGAACCCUGUGCACGCUCGCUGCAACGUGAGCAGCUCUCAGCAGGCGGUGCCUCAGGCAGGAGGCCAGCUCAGGGCGGAGUUGUGGCUCCAAUGUGCGGAUCUGCCAGAGGGCUUUGAACAGAUCUGAGCAUCUGCAAAUCCUGCCUGGCUUCUGAUCCCUCUCUUUGCUGUCAAUUGCUCGUGUGGGAUGUGAUAUACAGAUCCACUGGGCAGCAUCCCCUGUACAAACCCAAGUGAAGGCUGAAGCAGGGCUUAGUGCUAAGCACAGAAUGGCUGCAGUCACACCUCAAAGUCUCCUGGCCAGAGGACAAAGCACUGACCGCAUCAUCACCAC
ensembl:lncRNA